rnacentral:lncRNA from 1 species
CUGAUUACAGGAAACCCAGAAGCUGUGAGAAGCAGUCACCCACCACCUCUCUUCCCUUGUGCACUUGUGCGCGUUUAAGUUACCGUAGAAAGUGCACUUCGUGGAGCAGAGUGUCUCAGAGAUGGAGGAGGCGUCUGGCCCGGGCAGCAGCGCCCCUGGCACCUGCUCACUGGGCCCCAUUGCACUAAACUGAAGUUGCUUUUCCUCCACCUCAGAAGGCUCCCUUGUGCCGCACAAUCGUCUCCACCCCCACCCUCAUCCCGGCGCCCGCUGCACUUCCUGUGGCUCUGGAUGCACUUCCUGACGCCCUGCCUCUGGACGUGGACGUGGACGUGGACGUGGGCCAGGCUGCUUUCGCUCACUACGCUGUGAGGUGUUGGACCAUCAGUUGCCCGCUUUCUGUUGCCCAUUAGGAUUUCCUAAUAAGGAUCAGUGCCCAGCAGCCGCAGUCACUGGGCAGUGCAGACACACUGCACACCCCGAAACGCUGGGACAAAACAAAACAGCCCGGGUCAUGUUCCCGGCCACUCAGGUUCAGGUUCGUGCGUUCAGCUUCCUUUGCUUGCCGCUGACCAAACCAAAGGCAACCAUGUACUUAUGUAAAAGAAAGGAGGAUUUAUUCAAAGCCAGCUCUGAGGUGGAGGGGCCCAUUUGCCUCAAAUCACCGUCUCCCCGUGUACAGGUGGGCGAGGGUCCUGUACAGUAAGGGGCAGCAGGGAGGGCGCACAGAGACAGUGCAGACGUCCACGCCUGCGUCACGGCUUCCAGCUUCUCAACUCCUUGUCCCUCUCCUGGGGACAGAAACGAGGCUCCUGCCUGUUCUGUCACUGCCUCUGGACUGAGAAGAGGGAGGGGGGUGUUGGCUAUGAACUCAGCAGGAGGAAACUUGAGAAGUUGCUUAUCUCUAAUAGAGAAGAAUCUAAUUUUUAAAGUUCUACUUUGCACUGCCAGUUACAUACAACUCCCCCUUGGUGCAGUCCGGCCCUCAAUCUUGAGCGCCUUGAGGUGCCAUGACAACCGGCUGGCGUCUCAUGUUGGAGUGACGCGGAGAUCCAACCAAGGCAGCUGGAGCAUAAGCAAAGGGGCACUUCAGCUGAAAAUGCAUCACUAAAAACUGGCCGUGGCCGGGGUUUUAGCUCAGUGGUGCCACCACCUGCCUCACAAGCACAAGGUCCCAAGUUCGAUCUCCGGUACAAAAAAAAAAAAAAGAAAGAAAAAAUUGAGAUCAUAAAAACUGGGCAGUCAAAUUCAGAAGAAAGCCAGAGCUAGGAUUGAUCGUUACACCUGCUAGACAGAUGGGCUUUUGCUCCUUGGCAGUGCAAUCCUGCACACGAAGCCUCUUGCAUAACCUCUGCAGCUCUGCUCAUUCUGGUAGAGCUGUUGCAGGGAUCGAAUUCAGGACCUUGCGCUUUCGAGGCAGGCGGCAGAACCACUGAGAUAAAUCCUUGGCCCUUGAAUACCAAAUUUUUAUGUCACCAAAUGCAAACGAUCCUGAGAAUAAGGAAGCCCGUAAGUGAAGCCACUUGGAGGACUAUUAAAGGAACUUUAAUAACCGUGAGUUUUUAAAGUGGAAAAGCUCAGAAGAUUUUAAAAGAUCCACAGACCACAGGCUGAAAUACUGCUGCUGCAUCAGGGCUUCCUGGCUUAUCAUUCGAGUGGAGGAAGUCCUUACCCACGGAAACAUGGACCCAGCUCUUUCAGGAAAUUAGAAAGCAGGCACAGCAUGGCUGGACAGUGUGUACUCAGACACAACUCGAUGCAUAAGGCCAAACGGGUGAGGCAGGUGUCCCUAGCAGCCAGCACCAGUCCUGGCCAGGCAGGGGGUCCCAGGAUACGGGAGGCUGCACAGCUGGUGCAGUGGCCAGGGCCCCACCUCUGGGGUCUUCGCGCACCUGCCAUUCUUUUGGCGUUCUCAGUGGCCCCUGGUCUUUCCUGGUGGGAUGUGCUGGUGCCCUUCACCGCUGCCCGGCUCAGCACCUACCUCACCACCAUUGUGUCUGUGCAGCUCUUCCAGGACUGGGAGCAGCGGCUGGCUGCUGUGCUGUGCCUCCUCUGGGUCCUCACCGUCUUAGCCUCCACUUUGUCUUUGAGAGGCUGCUGUGCUAGAAGCUGGUGGAGCAAACUCAGCACUCUGGCUCACCCUGAUCACUGUCUUCAUGAUCGAGCCUCUGGCAGGGCCGGAGGGGAGCGCUGCACAGUGGGAGUGCCGGUCCUGACUGGGGCUGCUUGAGCCACACCAGAGGAGGUCUUGGCCUGAAGGCAGCACCUGCUUGUGCCCGGCUGGGUACCCAGUUUCCUCCCAGUCACAUCUGAGAUUUUUCCUCAUCAGGCUAAGAAGAGCAGCCUUGAUCCCUGAAAUGUAUUUCCUGUUAUUCAUGCCUUGAGUAGCUAAUCCUGACUGAGAUCCUGAGCAGGGCCCCGGGGCAGAGGAAACUUAAGUCAAGGGUCCUGCUGGGCUCUAAGUAUUCUCCACAGUGGGGAUGGACUCCUCUCCAAAAGCAGCAAACUGGGCUUGGGGACUUUGUCCGGCCAGCAGCACUGACCCAAGAGCUCACUGGUCCCGUCCAUGCAGGUCACACUUCCUUAGACAGCUGAGCUCUGAGAGUGCAAGAGAGCUUGCAUUUCCCGCCCUGCAUUACAGGAGAGAGAAGCCCUUCUUCAGACAGAAGAAUGUUGCUAAGAACCUAACUGGGACCCUCUCCAGAUACCCGCCACCUGGGAAUACCUGCUGCCAAAGCACUGCAGGGCUUUCUGCCACAGCCGGCUGCAGCCUCAUGGACUCUUCCACCACCUUGUGGCCGGCACCAUCAGCGCACCUGAGACAGACUUCAGGCUCCCUAAGCAACCAAAGAUAGAAACAGUGGUCUGGUGAUGGUGGGCAUGGAGAGACCUGCAGAUGGGAGCUUGUUUCUAUCUUUGGUUUCUUUGCCUAAAGUCUUUGGUUUGAUGUGUCAGGUGCCAAAUGACAUUUGCUGAGAUGAAAAUAAAAGUGCUUUUUUGGAGAAAAAAA